rnacentral:tRNA from 1 species
GCGAGGGUUGCCAAGCCAGGUCAAAGGCGCUGGAUUCAGGGUCCAGUCGCGCAGGCGUUCGAGGGUUCAAAUCCCUUCCCUCGCA